rnacentral:tRNA from 1 species
GCGUCCUUAGCUCAACUGGAUAGAGCGAGUGGCUUCGGACCACUAGGUUGCGGGUUCAACUCCUGCAGGACGCACUA